AAAAAAAUCUACCAGUUCUUUAUUGAUGAAAACAUGAAUCCAGAUGGCAUGGUCAUUUUUCUGGAUUACCAUGAGGACGGUGUGACUCCACAUGAUUUUCUUUAAGGAUGGUUUAGAAAUGGAAAAAUGUCAACAAAUUUGGCAGUUACUUUGGAUCUAUCGUCUGUCAUCAUAACUGGCUGCUGGUGCUUGUCAUCCACACAACACCAGGACUUAAGACAAAUGGAACUGAUGUCAUCUUGAGCACAUUUAUUUUGAUUGUGAUUUAUUUGGAGUGGAGGCAUUUUUUUAAGAAAACAUGUCAUGUAGGUUGUCUAAAAUAAAGUGCAUUUAAACUCAAAAAAAAAAAAGAAAAGAAAAUUGAC
rnacentral:lncRNA from 1 species